CCUCCUAUGCCUUCCCACGCGCCCCUCUACUGCGCAGGUGUGGGCGCUCUGGGCUGCGCUGGGCGGGAGAGGCGGCUUGUGGGGUCGGGCCUCGGAAGUCCGGCGGGCUUGGCCAAAAAUGGCGGGCUCUCUGGGUUGCCUGGUCAUGGCAGGUGGAGGCGAGAGCAGCGACAGUGAAGAGGACUACUGGGACAUCGGGUACAUGGAUCGUACGCCUCAGACGAUGAAAGGAUCAUUAGUGACUGAAGAAAAAGAUGAAACUUUUAAGAAAGCUUUGACUUCAGGAGAUGUUUCGCUGGUUGAAGAACUUCUCAAUUCUGGAAUGAGUGUGGAAUCCAGUUUUCAGUUUGGAUGGACUCCUCUUAUGUGUGCUGCUACUAUUGCUAAUGUAGAGUUGGUGCGUAUCUUGUUGGACAGAGGGGCUAAUGCAAGUUUUGAUAAGGAUCAAUAUACUAUUUUGAUGGCUGCAUGUUCUGCACGUGCUUCAGAGGGUCAGAUUUUGAAGAGUGUAGAACUGCUACUUUCGAGAAAUGCUGACCCAAAUGUUGCUUGCAGGAAAUGUAUGACUCCAAUCAUGUAUGCAGCUCGAGAAGGCCAUGCUCAGGUUGUUGCUCUCCUUGUUGCUCAUGGAGCAGAAAUAAAUGCCCAAGAUGAAAAUGGUUAUACAGCCUUAACAUGGGCAGCACGACAGGGUCAUAAAAGUGUAGUUUUGAAGUUGCUUGAACUGGGAGCUAAUAAAACAAUACAGACCAAAGAUGGAAAGACAGCAGGAGAGAUUGCUAAACGAAAUAAACAUCCAGAGCUCUUCACUUUACUUUCUUUGACUGUGAAUCCAUUGCAAGGAAAGCUCCAACACUUAACUAAAGAAGAAGCUAUAUGUAGACUUUUGACAACAGAUGGUGAUACAGGAAAAGAGCACAAAUUUAGUUCAUAUACAGCUUUUGGUGAUCUGGAAGUAUUUUUACAUGGACUUGGACUUGAGCAUAUGACAGAAUUACUAAAAGAAAGAGACAUAACCUUACGGCAGCUUCUGACAAUGAGAAAGGAAGACUUCACAGAGAAUGGAAUUACUAAUAUUAGAGACCAGCAAAAAAUUCUGGAUGCUGUUAAAGAAUUACAGGUAGAGGAAAUAAAAUUUGGAGAAUUGACUGAAGUAAUAAACUUGGAGAUCAGUGGUGAUGAGUUCCUCAAUUUCCUGCUGAAAUUAAGCAAACAGUGUGGUCAUUUAACUAAAGCAGUGCAGAACAUAAUUAACCAGUUACCAGUAAAUUCUCAUAAGAUAGUACUAGAAUGGGGAUCCUCCCAAAGGUUUACAUCAGUUUGUGAAAAUUUGGUUUGUAAUGUUGAAGAUCUGGGUGAAGAAGUCUGUAAACUAAAAGACUUAAUUCAGAAGUUGCAAAAUGACCAGAAAAAUGAUCCCUGUCGUGUACUGCCUAGAGAAACAUAUUCUGCCUGGAAUACCAGAUUUUUGAAGAGGGCAGCAUUUACAGUAUGCGGAUUUGGGUUUCUCCUUUUCAUUUGCAAGCUAACUUUCCAGAAAAGCUAAUGGUUAGGUAUGAGGAAAAGAGACAUGGGCAAACAAAAAGGAAAAGAAAAGGACUAACUUAACUGUGAAUAUAGGAGUUAAUUUUCUUUCUUGGCUGAGUGCCAUGCUUACAACAGAUGUGGUUGAUCUGCAACUGCUUGAAAGAUAAAGAAAUAGUAAUUUGCUCCUGGUCCCACAGCUAAUAAGUGAAAGAAAUUGAAUCUAGGUCUUUCCUGACCAAGUAUUCCUUCUAUACCACCACACACCUUCUUCUGGAGAUAGAAACUGUGUAUUAAACCAUCAAAAGUCAA